AAAUUGAAGAGUUUGAUCAUGGCUCAGAUUGAACGCUGGCGGCAGGCCUAACACAUGCAAGUCGAACGGUAACAGGAAGCAGCUUGCUGUUUCGCUGACGAGUGGCGGACGGGUGAGUAAUGUCUGGGAAACUGCCUGAUGGAGGGGGAUAACUACUGGAAACGGUAGCUAAUACCGCAUAACGUCGCAAGACCAAAGAGGGGGACCUUCGGGCCUCUUGCCAUCGGAUGUGCCCAGAUGGGAUUAGCUUGUUGGUGGGGUAACGGCUCACCAAGGCGACGAUCCCUAGCUGGUCUGAGAGGAUGACCAGCCACACUGGAACUGAGACACGGUCCAGACUCCUACGGGAGGCAGCAGUGGGGAAUAUUGCACAAUGGGCGCAAGCCUGAUGCAGCCAUGCCGCGUGUAUGAAGAAGGCCUUCGGGUUGUAAAGUACUUUCAGCGGGGAGGAAGGGAGUAAAGUUAAUACCUUUACUCAUUGACGUUACCCGCAGAAGAAGCACCGGCUAACUCCGUGCCAGCAGCCGCGGUAAUACGGAGGGUGCAAGCGUUAAUCGGAAUUACUGGGCGUAAAGCGCACGCAGGCGGUUUGUUAAGUCAGAUGUGAAAUCCCCGGGCUCAACCUGGGAACUGCAUCUGAUACUGGCAAGCUUGAGUCUCGUAGAGGGGGGUAGAAUUCCAGGUGUAGCGGUGAAAUGCGUAGAGAUCUGGAGGAAUACCGGUGGCGAAGGCGGCCCCCUGGACGAAGACUGACGCUCAGGUGCGAAAGCGUGGGGAGCAAACAGGAUUAGAUACCCUGGUAGUCCACGCCGUAAACGAUGUCGACUUGGAGGUUGUGCCCUUGAGGCGUGGCUUCCGGAGCUAACGCGUUAAGUCGACCGCCUGGGGAGUACGGCCGCAAGGUUAAAACUCAAAUGAAUUGACGGGGGCCCGCACAAGCGGUGGAGCAUGUGGUUUAAUUCGAUGCAACGCGAAGAACCUUACCUGGUCUUGACAUCCACAGAACUUUCCAGAGAUGGAUUGGUGCCUUCGGGAACUGUGAGACAGGUGCUGCAUGGCUGUCGUCAGCUCGUGUUGUGAAAUGUUGGGUUAAGUCCCGCAACGAGCGCAACCCUUAUCCUUUGUUGCCAGCGGUCCGGCCGGGAACUCAAAGGAGACUGCCAGUGAUAAACUGGAGGAAGGUGGGGAUGACGUCAAGUCAUCAUGGCCCUUACGACCAGGGCUACACACGUGCUACAAUGGCGCAUACAAAGAGAAGCGACCUCGCGAGAGCAAGCGGAUCUCAUAAAGUGCGUCGUAGUCCGGAUUGGAGUCUGCAACUCGACUCCAUGAAGUCGGAAUCGCUAGUAAUCGUGGAUCAGAAUGCCACGGUGAAUACGUUCCCGGGCCUUGUACACACCGCCCGUCACACCAUGGGAGUGGGUUGCAAAAGAAGUAGGUAGCUUAACCUUCGGGAGGGCGCUUACCACUUUGUGAUUCAUGACUGGGGUGAAGUCGUAACAAGGUAACCGUAGGGGAACCUGCGGUUGGAUCACCUCCUUACCUUAAAGAAGC
rnacentral:rRNA from 1 species